rnacentral:rRNA from 1 species
AUGAGCGUACCAUCACGCCAAUGCUCCAGCACCCACUCGACGAGCGCUAUCUGUCCGCCCUACGCAUUCUCCUUGAUGGGUUUCUGUCCGCAUGCAACCUCAAGAAGGAAUAUGCCAAAGACGAGCAUGUCGGUCAGAGGGGACGCCCUGCCCGUGCGUAUCAACUCCGGAGCCAAGUAACCCAUGGUGUCGACCACGUGUGUGGUUUGCGAGUCCGCCCCAUGGUCGUACAGCCUUGCUAGCCCAAAGUCACCAAGCUGGGCGUUCAUGUCUUUGUCGAGGAGCACGUUGUUGGCCUUGAUGUCUCUGUGGAUGACAACUUUCUCCCACCUCUCAUGCAAAUAA